CUGGCUCAGGAUGAUGCUAGCGGCGUGCUAACACAUGCAAGUCGAGGGGUAACGAUGGUGCUUGCACAAGUCGACGACCGGCGCACGGGUGAGUAACGCGUAUGCAAUCUACCUUUAACUGGAGGAUAGCCCGAAGAAAUUCGGAUUAAUACUCCAUAGAAUUACAAUAUCGCCUGAUAUUGUACUUAAAGCAUUAGCGGUUAAAGAUGAGCAUGCGUGCCAUUAGUUAGUUGGUGAGGUAACGGCUCACCAAGGCAUCGAUGGCUAGGGGUUCUGAGAGGAUGAUCCCCCACACUGGUACUGAGACACGGACCAGACUCCUACGGGAGGCAGCAGUGAGGAAUAUUGGUCAAUGGGCGCAAGCCUGAACCAGCCAUGCCGCGUGCAGGAAGACUGCCCUAUGGGUUGUAAACUGCUUUUCUACAGGAAGAAACUUUGCGACGAGUCGUGAAUUGCCGGUACUGUAGGAAUAAGCAUCGGCUAACUCCGUGCCAGCAGCCGCGGUAAUACGGAGGAUGCAAGCGUUAUCCGGAUUCAUUGGGUUUAAAGGGUGCGUAGGCGGAAUAGUAAGUCAGUGGUGAAAGGCUGCAGCUUAACUGUAGAAUUGCCAUUGAUACUGUUAUUCUUGAGUGUAGUUGAGGUAGGCGGAAUGUGUAAUGUAGCGGUGAAAUGCUUAGAUAUUACACAGAACACCGAUUGCGUAGGCAGCUUACUAAACUAUAACUGACGCUGAGGCACGAAAGCGUGGGGAGCGACCAGGAUUAGAUACCCUGGUAGUCCACGCUGUAAACGAUGAUCACUCGUUGUUGGCAAUACAUCGUCAGCGACUG
rnacentral:rRNA from 1 species